GGUGGAGUGGCCGAGUGGUUAAGGCGCUGUGUUGUACCCUCAGACGUCCGAGUUCGAUUCUGUUACUAACA
rnacentral:tRNA from 1 species